rnacentral:tRNA from 1 species
ACCUGGUUGGCUCAGUUGGUAGAGCGUGCAACUCUUAAUUUCGGGGUUGUGAGUCUGAGCCCCACGCUGGGUG